UACGAAGGGGGCUAGCGUUGUUCGGAAUUACUGGGCGUAAAGCGCACGUAGGCGGACAUUUAAGUCAGGGGUGAAAUCCCGGGGCUCAACCCCGGAACUGCCUUUGAUACUGAAGAUCUUGAGUUCGGGAGAGGUGAGUGGAACUGCGAGUGUAGAGGUGAAAUUCGUAGAUAUUCGCAAGAACACCAGUGGCGAAGGCGGCUCACUGGCCCGAUACUGACGCUGAGGCACGAAAGCGUGGGGAGCAAACAGG
rnacentral:rRNA from 1 species